GGGCCCGUAGCUCAGCACGGUGGAGCGCUCGACAAUAGGGCGUAGCUCUUAACCGAGUGGUCGCGGGUUCAAAUCCCGCCGGGCCCG
rnacentral:tRNA from 1 species